UACGGGGGGGGCAAGCGUUGUUCGGAAUUACUGGGCGUAAAGGGCGCGUAGGCGGCGUGACAAGUCACUUGUGAAAUCUCCGGGCUUAACUCGGAACGGUCAAGUGAUACUGUCGGACUAGAGUACAGAAGGGGCAACUGGAAUUCUCGGUGUAGCGGUGAAAUGCGUAGAUAUCGAGAGGAACACCUGCGGCGAAGGCGGGUUGCUGGGCUGAUACUGACGCUGAGGCGCGAAAGCCAGGGGAGCGAACGGG
rnacentral:rRNA from 1 species